GACAGAGGGUGCAAACGUUGUUCGGAAUUACUGGGCGUAAAGCGUGUGUAGGCGGUCUUCUAAGUCGGGUGUGAAAUCCCUGGGCUCAACCCAGGAAGUGCACUCGAAACUGGAGGGCUAGAGUAUCGGAGAGGUUGGUGGAAUUCUCGGUGUAGAGGUGAAAUUCGUAGAUAUCGAGAGGAACACCGAUGGCGAAGGCAGGUCUCUGGGCCGCAACUGACGCUGAGGAGCGAAAGCAUGGGGAGCGAACAGG
rnacentral:rRNA from 1 species